UACGUAGGGGGCAAGCGUUAUCCGGAUUUACUGGGUGUAAAGGGAGCGCAGACGGAAAUGCAAGCCAGAAGUGAAAACCCGGGGCUCAACCCCGCGGACUGCUUUUGGAACUGCGUAUCUAGAGUGCAGGAGAGGCAGGCGGAAUUCCUAGUGUAGCGGUGAAAUGCGUAGAUAUUAGGAGGAACACCAGUGGCGAAGGCGGCCUGCUGGACUGUAACUGACGUUGAGGCUCGAAAGCGUGGGGAGCAAA
rnacentral:rRNA from 1 species